CGUCUAUAUACGUAUAGCAUAUCAAUAAGCGGAGGAAAAGAAACUAACUAGGAUUCCCUCAGUAACGGCGAGUGAAGCGGGAAGAGCUCAAAUUUGAAAUCUUCAAGGUUCUACCUUGACGAAUUGUAGUUUAAAGAAGUGUUUUCUGUUGGAGUUUUGGUAAAAGUUCUUUGGAAUAGGACAUCAUAGAGGGUGAGAAUCCCGUAUUUGACCAUUAUUUCCAACUUUGUGAUACACUUUCAAAGAGUCGGAUUGUUUGGGAAUGCAGUCCAAAAUGGGUGGUAAAUUUCAUCUAAAGCUAAAUACUGGCGAGAGACCGAUAGCGAACAAGUACCGUGAGGGAAAGAUGAAAAGAACUUUGAAAAGAGAGUUAAACAGUACGUGAAAUUGUCAAAAGGGAAGCGUUUGACAGCCAGUGUUGUUUUCUCGAAAAUCAAUUAAAAAUGGCUGGGAUUUUGUGUUGUAUUGACUUUAUCAGCUUUCUGCACUUUUUUCCUAUCUUUUUUAAUGCACUUUUCGUUUAACAAGUCAACAUCAAUUUCUUUUGUUGUAAAAGAGUCAUUGGAAGGUGGCUUUCUUUUCGGAGAAAGUGUUUAUAGCCUUUGACUUCUGCAAUCGGAGAGAUUGAGGUCUGCAGCGUAGAUCCUUCGGGGUUAGAUACAUUUGUGCUAAGUUAUAGCCUUUUCAUAGACAACAUUGUUGACUAUGAUCAGUCAUGUAGCUUACUCGCUUAUGUUAUCUUACCUACGCUUAGGAUGUUGACGAUCAGCUGAGCGCG
rnacentral:rRNA from 1 species